rfam:Hordeum vulgare subsp. vulgare, WGS project CAJW01000000 data, contig: morex_contig_1558011
GUAAUACUCCCUCCGUCUGAAAAUACUUGUCACAGAAAUGGAUAUAAUGAAGGUAUCUAUAACUAAAAUAAAUCUAGAUAUAUUCAUCUCUAGGACUAGUAUUUCAUGACGGAGGGAGUAUGUU